UCAAAGGUAAAAUACGUUUUAGAAUUUCUUUCUACGCCAAACUAUAGUGUAAAAUAUAGAUUGUUCUACAGUUAUUUUGUCUCGCAACAUCUAUACGUAGUUGUGUGUAACCCGGCACAAAAUUUUAGUAUGCGAGUGUACUGGUUAAUAUUUUUGUCAUCACAGAGGCCACAACAUUCUCACAAGUAUGCAGGUGGCGCUAUUGUUUUUCCUCCGUGUUCUGUGAUGGCGGUCGUAUGUGCGGGGUGCUACGAGCGUCGCGUUUGCUUGAUCGUGUGUUUUUGUGUUUGCUGUUAUGAAGUAGGUCGCAGUUAGCGUGCACAGAAGUGCCUGAAGAUACCUUGUGUCACGCUGCAAACUCGCCGUAUGCGUGGCGCGCCAGGCAAAUGUGGCCCAACGAUUUUAUGCCGUGGAGUACGGUUUCUUUGUUCUCGUUCUGGAAAGUUGGGUGGACGUCGCAAAGAAUGUGUGUUAGCGCGCCUCAGCUCGUCCACUACGCAGCGGCAUGUAUGCGGGGAGUAACAUCGUCGACGCAGCACCGGCAACUUGGAGAGUGCUUCGCGACCGCGUCGUACCAUUCAAAAGUGGCGAGGCUGUGACCCAUAACAGUGCCUACAUAACGGAGGAGCCACCAGACCCCUUGGCUAUGCCUGCCGUAGUGCAACGUAUAAUCUGGAUGGUCGGGUCAGGUACACCUAGGAAAUGUUGUAUACAUUGGCAACGAUAACUGGGGCCUGCUCCAGUGCCAUCGCCGGGAUUCCCUGUUCUGCAAAAAGCUGACAUAACUGAUGUGGGGAGCCCUGGCGCUCGGUGUAGGAGUAUCACAGGGGCUCCUUGUCGGUGCUUGAAGGACGGCAAUGCUGUUGAGAAGCCGACAUUGAGCCCCGAUAAAUUGGAAGCUGUGGGUAGUAAGUAUCAUUCACAUUUUUUCAAGUUUUUGUAAUGUUUGUAACAAUGCAUGUAUUGCACCGAAAUGAUUAACUUUUCAGAUGCAUUUGAUGCAUAUCUUUCGAAAUGUGGUACCCCUGAGGAGAAAAAAAUCAUCUUCUCAUGCUUGGUUUUGGCCGAGCGGUUGAAUCGAGUGACAAAGUUUUUCGCGUUUAGGUAGUCUAAGAAGAAACAAAAGCAGAAUUAACAAACCAGCUUAUUUGUGGCUACUCAUGAGUUGCAUUUCUUUGUUUAAAAGUGCCUGUGAAGUGGCGCUAACCUACUAUCAGGUCCAGAAUUUUCGGUUAACACCGCUUCCAAAAGCUCGCGUUCUAAUUUGGUUUUUUCAAGGCCAGAACUUCCGUAUUCGUCAUCCGCGGAUAGCAACGGCAACUUUUGCAGUGUAGAGCAAUAUUCAACCCUUCUCCCGAUAUGCAACACCUGUAGCGUAGUUGUAGCUGGUCGUUCAGGCACUGAAUUGCUGUGCAGAUGUAGGCAACAACACAAGAGUUAAGACGAGAGACAUGCGGCAACUCUUUAACAAAAAGCUUUAUUUUUGCAAGCCCAUGUUUUAGCUGUCAGUCACUGCAUUGCACAUGCGCAAUUCGCACCCUUAGGAAGAAAGUAAACUGUCUGACAAGUGUACAGAAGGUGUGCUGAUACACACAGAGCCAAGUCGCGAAAUCUUUUCAGCCUCAAUUAUUUUACGUGUUAGUUGAUCACCGCUUCUGCUGGAAACGGUACACUGAGCAAACGACGGUUCACAGUCACGCGAACUGCAAUGACAUUCAAGCCUACUGUCACGCACAUUUUUCUUGACAUUGUAUGAGUGUUCUCUCAGCCGGUGAUUGAUGCAGUGUCCCAUUUGACCUAUAUACUGUUUACCACAAGGGGGAUACAAUAAACCACAUUGCUAACACAGGUGACAAACGGAAUUUGGUGUUUUGUUGCAUAUGUGUGGCGUGCUGUGACAUUGCCUUUGAUUACACAACUUUAGAAUGAUAUGCAAUUUUCUUGAUAUUGUGAGAGCUUAUGAAUGUAGGGUAUGACGGCCUGUUUUAUGUCUGUCAGAUGCAGUGACCACAUGACCUCUACUCUGAAAAGCGCAUGCACCGAGUGGUUGCCAUGUGAUCACUCCAGUAUCUGACCGACUUAAAGUGGCUGUCAUACCAUACAUUCAUAAGCUGUCUCACAAUAUCGUGAAAACUGCAGAUCGUUCCAAAGUUAAAGUUGUCUUCUUUGCACCUCAGAAGCUUAUAAAGUUGUGUAAUCAAAGGAAAUGUUUCAGGGCAGCACACAAGUGUAACAAAAAGCACAAAAAUCCGUUCGUCACCUAUGUUAGCAACAUGAAUUACUGUACCCCUCUUUCUUGUGGUAAACAGUACAUAGGCCAAACAGGACGCUGUAUCAAUGACCAGCUGAGAGAACACUCUAUAAUGUCAAGAAAAACGUGCAUGACAGUUGGCUUGCAUGUUGUUGCAGUUCAUGUGCCAGUGAACCAUUGUUUGCUCGGUGUACUGUUGUCAGCAGUAGCGGUGAUCAACUAACACGUGAAAUUAUUGAAGCUGAAAAGAUUGCGCGACUUAGCUCUAUGUGUGUCAGCAUCUGUACACUUAUCAGACAGAGUUGACCUACCUAAGGGUGUGAAUUGCGCAGGUGCAAUGUGAUGAGUGACGGCUAUAAACAUGGGUCGCUGAAAAUAAAGCUUUUUGUUGGAAGUCAGCACACGUCUAUUGUCUCGUCAUUUCUGUCGUCAAUAUCUGUGCUGCAAUUCACCAAUAUGUUGUACCAACAAGUCAAAUUUAUCACUCACUCAUUCGAACUUUCUUUCAUCACGAAUGAAAUGUGGUUUUGGUACCGUGGUAGAGCAUUCACAUCAUUUGUUAAUUUUUGUUUUCUUCAAAGACUGAACUGGAUGUAACAAGCAGCCGUGGCAUUGCAAGGAAGCUUUAUGUUAAAGGAAUAUAUUGAUACUAACGUCUUAACUGCUUAGCGCAAUAAAGGAAGUUGUGGGUAUUGUUUAUUGUGCUUUCCUUGCUCUUGUGUCCAAACUUAUAGCUAUAAUGGUUAGGUUUUACUGAAAUUUGCUUUUUGAUGUUUUGCAUUAUUCUCCUGUGUAAAGUCACUUGUUUGUUUCACAGUUAUGCGAAGCUUAAGUUGUUUGUAAGCAUUUUUAUAGCCUGUUUUCACAGUAAACAUGGCUUACUUCAGUGUUUCAGAUGGCACUUUAUAGUUUGAUGUAAUUGAUGUCUCUGCAGGUUACCGCAUUAUUGACUUGGAAACCAGUGAGGUCUGGAUGCAAGUGAAGCUACCGAGGGAGGCAUGUGUGCAUCACUUGUGCUGCUGGCCAUCCUCUGCAAAAGUGAUGGCUGGCAGUCAGUGCUUGGAUGACUUUCUGUUACUCUACGCCUUGGGCUGUGUUGACUACUUCACACUUGCUGCCAUGUCUGCAAGCUUAGGCAAAAAGACCGGCUGGAUGCUUGGCAGGAGAUAGUAUCCAACCGCAGUGUUACUGUGUUGUGUUGUACAUUACAAAGUGAUGGAGGACAGUAUUUGUGCUGUUAAGAAGUAUAAAUUGUGUUCUGCCAUUGAAAUAAGGGAACUCGACACAAAGCAAAAGAUUUCGAAGUCUGACCUACAUGGGAAAGCAAAAUAUAUUGUGUUGUAGUUGUAGCUGUUAGUAGAGUCUUAAUAUGCGAUAGAAGACCUUGAUGUUUAAUAGCAAAUAUAUUUAAGUGUGUUAUCAGUGUGUUAUCAGUGUUUAAGUUACUGUUAUGUGUCAUUUGUUUGCCAGGAUGAUGUAAGCAGACAGUAAAUAAAUGCAUGGUUUGAGAUUAUAACCAGGUUUGUCUAUGGCAUUCACUAUUAUUUAAGGUGGACCAAUGCAUAUUCAUGGGUGCAUAUUCAACCACCACAUUCCUCCUGCACAAACAAUUCCUACAUACUAGCGUUUGGUCUUAGCAGCUGAUGUUGGCUAUUAUACAAUUUCUUGAAAGCACAUGCAGCUACCGACACAUGAUUUUUAGAGCAGUAAGUCGGAAGCAAAGACUGAUUUUUUUCUGUGGUCUAAGCUUAAAUGAUAUGUUUAAGGAAAUGAACAUUUGUGGAAUAUAUUUACUUUCCUGCUGCGAGAACCUUUAUACGAGAACCUCUGCACAUUGGACGUGCAUGCUGCUUCUCUUGCUGUUAUAGCCAAAAUGAAAAAUUGUUCUUAUGAACCACUUCGCAGCUUUGCAUUGUGCACUUUUACUUGCAGUUAGCAUUUAUAUGCUGUGCUAUGGACAACAGCAAGACAAGUCAGGCAAACCACCAUGUGAAACACUUUAAAGAUUCUGGCUUAGGCGCGUUGGUACUAUAUAUAGUGCAAGACAGAUGAGCUGCCCGUACAGCAGCGCUGUCAGCAUUACACGGCUGACAGCACCGCAAACCCUUUAAUUUAUAUUUGUUUGACAGAUAAUGCAUUCUAGUAGUU